CAGAAUAGUCACUUUUGAGUUGUAGUUCCAUCUUUGAACUGCAACUCUAAAAUACAAGAUACAAGAUACUGAGGUUGAGAGUGGGAGAGAAAACAAAUGAGUAAGCUUUGGUUCCAUCUUUGAGCCACGGUUCUAAAACUAAAAAUAAUUCAUAGAGUGUGAGAUUAUCUGGUGGGAGAAGGCACCAUCAAAAUACCAAAGGAGGAAUAUAGCAAAUGGGUCGUGAAGCAAUCAAAAGAUUGUGGAAAGGAAAAAUCUCUACGGUGCUUUAACUAGGGAUUGGUGGGCCAAUAUGGUGCCUGGUUUUGGCCUCAAAUUGUGUUACUUGGGACACUAAAUUUUCUGGGUUUCAGCAUCAUGCAAGGUAAAUGCCAAAGUAACAAACAGACUUGAUGAAUGAGAAUAUCCGUUUGAAUGAUUUUUUUCUUCCCAAUAAUGCCAGCAAGUAAGUCUGUUCCAGGAAGUGCUGAAAAUUUGUUCCUUAUGGAUUAGGACUAGUGAUUUGUCUUUUGGUUCCCUCACAAGAUGGAGUCUAAUGUUUCUAUUUUUGUUAAUUUCCCAUUAUAAUUUAUUUAUGAUAUGGAAAAAUAUUUGAAUCCUGAUUAAAUGUCUGUCUAAAUUUUUUGAGUUUAAUUUUGAUGCACCGACGGUGUAAAGUUUUUUUACACCGUCAACAAAUCAGAUUUCAAGGAUGUGAUAUGUCAAUUAAAGAAAUUAAAUGAAAAGAGAGAUUUUCUCACAUCCUUGAAAUCUGAUUGGUUGAGGUGCAUCAAACUUUUUCUCAAAUUUUUUUCGCAUCAUUCGCGCAUAGUUAUUAAAUUCGACAGAAAAUUAUUGAAUGUUUGUGUUUCA